AUUUAGUACUAUAGGUACUCUCACUAGAAGUGGCCGUUAGAUAUUCAUCUGUUCACAGUUAGACAAACUGUCUAUAAAUGGAGAUGAUUUAGUACUAUAGGUACUCUCACUAGAAGUGGCCGUUAGAUAUUCAUCUGUCCACAGUUAGACAAACUGUCUAUAAAUGGAGAUGAUUUAGUACUAUAGGUACUCUCUCUAGAAGUGGCCGUUAGAUAUUCAUCUGUCCACAGUGAGACAAACUGUCUAUAAAUGGAGAUGAUUUAGUACUAUAGGUACUCUCUCUAGAAGUGGCCGUUAGAUAUUCAUCUGUCCACAGUUAGACAAACUGUCUAUAAAUGGAGAUGAUUUAGUACUAUAGGUACUCUCACUAGAAGUGGCCGUUAGAUAUUCAUCUGUCCACAGUGAGACAAACUGUCUAUAAAUGGAGGUGAUUUAGUACUAUAGGUACUCUCACUAGAAGUGGC